CGUGACUCCAACUGUGAUCUUCAAAGACUUCCUUUUUCCCAGUUCCUCCCACGGCAAGCCUUCCCACCUCUUUGCUUCUCUACAGAGGUCAAGUCUUUAAAAUGAUGGUGGUGAUGAUGAUGACGAUGAUGGACAAACUAGAAGCCACAGAAAUGGCUCAUGUCUGAUGAAGUGCUGGGAGUUGGAGGUGAGAGAAGACUCCAUGCUGGCACCGGCUCUUUUCAGCCAGAUCACAUCUUGGACACAAUCCUUCUUUUCAAGCAGUGCCAGUGGAGAUGAGGAGGUGUGAAUCCAAGGCCAAGGCUGAAGCCCAGGUUGAUGAACACAAAGCUGAGGGCUGCCUCCGCCUAAACAGAGACCGCCAGCUCCCUUUUAUAUUUCCUCUGAAAGAAGCACAAUGUUUCAACUAGAAACUGGAGGGUUAUUAGUUUCCCCACCAAAAGAAAAAGAGUCUCAAAUGUGGGAUUCCACAUAACAGGGCUGCUUUUGAACUCCCCAGCCCUCAACAUCUGCAGCCGUUUCUAUUCUCCAAGCGUUGCCAACUCCUGCUUUAAGGACUGAUAUCUCCAGGCACGCAUGGGUUCUGGCGGCCUCUGUUGAGUACAACAGGCUGCGGGAAGCCGAGUCAGCAAGGGGAGAGGUGAAGGAUCCUUCCUACUUGGCUUACUUGACUUUAACUUCACUUUGUGUCUGAAUCUCCGCCUACAGAAUGGCUUCAGAAUGUACAAAUACAGCAAACAAGGUACAAAUGUGCCACCAUCCUCUGUAAAAAUAACCUCUGGGCUUAUGUAAGGAUAAUUAAACAGCAAAGAUCAAACAAAA